GAUGAACGCUGGCGGCGUGCUUAACACAUGCAAGUCGAACGGCACCCACCCUCGGGUGGAAGCGAGUGGCGAACGGCUGAGUAACACGUGGAGAACCCGCCCCUCCUCCGGGAUAGCCUCGGGAAACCGUGGGUAAUACCGGAUACCCCGGGCGCCGCAUGGCGCCCGGGCUAAAAGCCCCGACGGGAGGGGAUGGCUCCGCGGCCCAUCAGGUAGACGGCGGGUGACGGCCCACCGUGCCGA
rnacentral:rRNA from 1 species